rnacentral:rRNA from 1 species
GCGAACGCUGGCGGCAGGCUUAACACAUGCAAGUCGAGCGGGCACUUUCGGGUGUCAGCGGCGGACGGGUGAGUAACGCGUGGGAACGUGCCCUCUGGUUCGGAAUAACUCAGGGAAACUUGAGCUAAUACCGGAUACGCCCUUUUGGGGAAAGGCUUGCUGCCGGAGGAUCGGCCCGCGUCUGAUUAGCUAGUUGGUGAGGUAACGGCUCACCAAGGCGACGAUCAGUAGCUGGUCUGAGAGGAUGAUCAGCCACACUGGGACUGAGACACGGCCCAGACUCCUACGGGAAGCAGCAGUGGGGAAUAUUGGACAAUGGGCGCAAGCCUGAUCCAGCCAUGCCGCGUGAGUGAUGAAGGCCUUAGGGUUGUAAAGCUCUUUUAUCCGGGACGAUAAUGACGGUACCGGAGGAAUAAGCCCCGGCUAACUUCGUG